GGGUUGUGAGGUUAAGCGACUAAGCGUACACGGUGGAUGCCCUGGCAGUCAGAGGCGAUGAAGGACGUGCUAAUCUGCGAUAAGCGUCGGUAAGGUGAUAUGAACCGUUAUAACCGGCGAUUUCCGAAUGGGGAAACCCAGUGUGAUUCGUCACACUAUCAUUAACUGAAUCCAUAGGUUAAUGAGGCGAACCGGGGGAACUGAAACAUCUAAGUACCCCGAGGAAAAGAAAUCAACCGAGAUUCCCCCAGUAGCGGCGAGCGAACGGGGAGGAGCCCAGAGCCUGAAUCAGUGUGUGUGUUAGUGGAAGCGUCUGGAAAGGCGCGCGAUACAGGGUGACAGCCCCGUACACAAAAAUGCACAUGCUGUGAGCUCGAUGAGUAGGGCGGGACACGUGGUAUCCUGUCUGAAUAUGGGGGGACCAUCCUCCAAGGCUAAAUACUCCUGACUGACCGAUAGUGAACCAGUACCGUGAGGGAAAGGCGAAAAGAACCCCGGCGAGGGGAGUGAAAAAGAACCUGAAACCGUGUACGUACAAGCAGUGGGAGCACGCUUAGGCGUGUGACUGCGUACCUUUUGUAUAAUGGGUCAGCGACUUAUAUUCUGUAGCAAGGUUAACCGAAUAGGGGAGCCGAAGGGAAACCGAGUCUUAACUGGGCGUUAAGUUGCAGGGUAUAGACCCGAAACCCGGUGAUCUAGCCAUGGGCAGGUUGAAGGUUGGGUAACACUAACUGGAGGACCGAACCGACUAAUGUUGAAAAAUUAGCGGAUGACUUGUGGCUGGGGGUGAAAGGCCAAUCAAACCGGGAGAUAGCUGGUUCUCCCCGAAAGCUAUUUAGGUAGCGCCUCGUGAAUUCAUCUCCGGGGGUAGAGCACUGUUUCGGCAAGGGGGUCAUCCCGACUUACCAACCCGAUGCAAACUGCGAAUACCGGAGAAUGUUAUCACGGGAGACACACGGCGGGUGCUAACGUCCGUCGUGAAGAGGGAAACAACCCAGACCGCCAGCUAAGGUCCCAAAGUCAUGGUUAAGUGGGAAACGAUGUGGGAAGGCCCAGACAGCCAGGAUGUUGGCUUAGAAGCAGCCAUCAUUUAAAGAAAGCGUAAUAGCUCACUGGUCGAGUCGGCCUGCGCGGAAGAUGUAACGGGGCUAAACCAUGCACCGAAGCUGCGGCAGCGACGCU
rnacentral:rRNA from 1 species